GGCCGUACAGACCGAAGGCUCACGGGAUGCGGGUUUGACUUUCGGCUCCCCGAGCGCUUAUUAUAUUUAUUUUUUCCUCUCAGCGAUCCAUUAAAACACCCAAGAAGAGCACCGGAGGCGGGGAAAUACCUGGUCCGAGGCGGCGGCUCCUGCGGCGGGCUGCAGAAAGUCGCUCUGACCGCCGUCCGCGUCCAAGGCAGCCAUUUCCUGCUGCUUCGCUGGCUGUUCUGGGGCUACAGGGGAAAGACAGAGAACAAACACAGCGAAGUGUAAUUCCUCAGCGACUUCCACACCAACUAAUAACAAUAACUUUAGCUCUCCAACUACAAACCAGACAUUUAACUAAACCCGCGACUUCACUCGCUCUCACACUGCACCGCUUUCCCUUCCUGCUCGCAUCGAGCGUUUUACUUUGUUAAAGUCGAGCUAACUCACUAGCCUAGCUAAGUGCUAGCAUAGCUGCUGAACGGGGAGAAGAUUAAAGACUUUGGCUAAGCUAGCUGUGCUAAAGGUGGCUCCAAACUCACCGGCGGUGCUGUGCUUCGAUCGGUUUAAGUGUUACGUACCAGUCAUAGCGCGAACGGCUAAAAAAUAGCAAGGUUAUCUGUUCAUUUAAACUCCAAACAUGAUUGUUUUAAUCAAAGGCGGGCUGUGAUCGGAGAUUCGGGUCGAUUUUUUUUCCCUUAUUUUGAUUGACGGUGCGGGAAGCGCAAAAGGUGGGGCUAUUGAGCCUUGGACCGUGGAAGUCGCUGCACGUAGAGGAAGUCCCGCCCCGCUUCUCGUUUUGAAACGAUUGGCUGCGCGACUGGACUCUUUCGUCUCUGAUUGGUCGGACGCGCACGUCAGUUAACUCGAUGCCACGAGCUUUUCCUGUUGGUUUGUUUUUCCCAGCUCUGCGACGGGUUUGGAAAAGCUGGUGGAUUGUGUACAGGGCCAGAAAGGCUCAUGGAGUUAAUUACGUCUCCUGAUCUUUUAGAAAAACUUUAAAAAGACAACAGAAAUGACGUGCUUUUGUUCUAAAUGCUAUAUUAAACACGCUGUGGCGUACUUUCAUGUGGUUUGGGAUGGAGCCCAGAACAUGUCGGUGUGGGGGGAAGGGGGAGAGAAGAAUAAAAAGUUACCCUGUUUGACACCAAAAGCUGUCGCUUUACUCGCUCGGGUAAACAAACUAGUAUGCGGAAACAGCUGCAAGACCCGGAUGUGCCACAGCUUAGACUGCUAACCACUACACAGCCUGUAUUGGUCAAGGCCGAUAUGCAUGGAAGCAGGGCCGAGGUGCAGCCUGAAGAGUAGAGAAAUGAAAAAUGAAACAAACCCCACGUUUGGUAAUCCAACAAUCCCGAUUUUGAGUGAGGUCCCGAAUCUUCCGAUGAGAGGGGGCAGCUUUGGUCCAUCUCCUCCCUUCUUCGGAGGCAUCUGCAAUUAAAAAAAAAAAAAUCCAUUAUGAAUACAAGAAGACAUCUGAUGAUCACAUGAUAAACACACCUUUUUAGGAGCCAUGACUGAAAUGUGUCAGCACUACUCUCUUCAUGAAUCUAUCAUCAUUCAUAAGUUGAAAUCUUUACAUUAGUAUAGUCAAAUCUUACUUAGUUAAGAGUGAUUCUUUCUUUCUGGGCUGUCUCAUUUCAGCACACAUGAUGCCCAAAAUAACCUCCGAUGCACAGUUAAGGAGGGGUGUAGGAUGACCAGGCUGGCCUGCUGAGCUAAAUAUAACCCAUAUUUCAUAAUUCAUUAAUAAACACAUAUCAUUAGCUCUUAUAUCACUGCCAUACUUCCUCAGCAGGAGCAUCUGUCUGUCAGUCUGUCUGAGUGUCACAGCCAGAUAUUUACCUCUAGCUAGCUCCAUUCAUUUCUACACACUUAGCAUAUUAGCUUCCUCGCCCCUGUUAGCAUUAUGGCACAAAACAGUGUGUAUGUUCCAAGCUAUGAAAGUUGAAUACAAACGCAAAACCGUGAAUUUAUCCAUGUUUGUGUUUGCAUCACCUUGAAUUAAAGCUAUGUUUGAUUACGAAGGAGGAAUUUCAGCGUGCUGGAAAGCAGCUCACACGCUUUGCACAGCCCAGGCGACGGCACGAAAAGAAA